rnacentral:rRNA from 1 species
UACGGAGGGGGCUAGCGUUGUUCGGAAUUACUGGGCGUAAAGCGCACGUAGGCGGCUUUGUAAGUUAGAGGUGAAAGCCCGGGGCUCAACCCCGGAAUUGCCUUUAAGACUGCAUCGCUUGAACGUCGGAGAGGUGAGUGGAAUUCCGAGUGUAGAGGUGAAAUUCGUAGAUAUUCGGAAGAACACCGGUGGCGAAGGCGGCUCACUGGCUCGUAACUGACGCUCAGGCGCGACAGCGUGGGGAUCAAACAGG